UACGUAGGGUGCGAGCGUUAAUCGGAAUUACUGGGCGUAAAGCGUGCGCAGGCGGUCUGUUAAGACCGAUGUGAAAUCCCCGGGCUUAACCUGGGAACUGCAUUGGUGACUGGCAGGCUUUGAGUGUGGCAGAGGGAGGUAGAAUUCCACGUGUAGCAGUGAAAUGCGUAGAGAUGUGGAGGAAUACCGAUGGCGAAGGCAGCCUCCUGGGCCAACACUGACGCUGAGACUCGAAAGCGUGGGGAGCAAACAGG
rnacentral:rRNA from 1 species